rnacentral:rRNA from 1 species
GGGAUAACACUUAGAAAUAGGUGCUAAUACCGCAUAAGCGCACAGCUUCGCAUGAAGGAGUGUGAAAAACUGAGGUGGUAUAUGAUGGAUCCGCGUCUGAUUAGCCAGUUGGUGAGGUAACGGCUCACCAAAGCGACGAUCAGUAGCCGGCCUGAGAGGGCGGACGGCCACAUUGGGACUGAGACACGGCCCAGACUCCUGCGGGAGGCAGCAGUGGGGGAUAUUGCACAAUGGGGGAAACCCUGAUGCAGCGACGCCGCGUGAGUGAAGAAGUAAUUCGUUACGUAAAGCUCUAUCAGCAGGGAAGAAAAUGACGGUACCUGACUAAGAAGCCCCGGCUAACUACGUGCCAGCAGCCGCGGUAAUACGUAGGGGGCAAGCGUUAUCCGGAAUUACUGGGUGUAAAGGGAGCGCAGACGGCAGUGCAAGUCUGGAGUGAAAGCCCGUGGCUUAACCACGGGACUGCUCUGGAAACUGUGCAGCUAGAGUGCAGGAGAGGCAGGCGGAAUUCCUAGUGUAGCGGUGAAAUGCGUAGAUAUUAGGAGGAACACCGGUGGCGAAGGCGGCCUGCUGGACUGUAACUGACGUUGAGGCUCGAAAGCGUGGGGAGCAAACAGGAUUAGAUACCCUGGUAGUCCACGCCGUAAACGACGAUUACUAGGUGUCGGGGGACGAUAGUGCUCCGGUGCCGGCG